GAUGAACGCUGGCGGCGUGCCUAAUACAUGCAAGUCGAGCGAACAGACGAGGAGCUUGCUCCUCUGACGUUAGCGGCGGACGGGUGAGUAACACGUGGAUAACCUACCUAUAAGACUGGGAUAACUUCGGGAAACCGGAGCUAAUACCGGAUAAUAUAUUGAACCGCAUGGUUCAAUAGUGAAAGACGGUUUUGCUGUCACUUAUAGAUGGAUCCGCGCCGCAUUAGCUAGUUGGUAAGGUAACGGCUUACCAAGGCAACGAUGCGUAGCCGACCUGAGAGGGUGGUCGGGCGCGCGGGAGGGGGGACGGGGGGGAGGGGGCGAGGGGAGGGAGGAGGGGGGAGGGGGCGGCAAUGGGCGAAAGCUUGACGGAGCAACGCCGCGUGAGUGAUGAAGGUCUUCGGAUCGUAAAACUCUGUUAUUAGGGAAGAACAAAUGUGUAAGUAACUAUGCACGUCUUGACGGUACCUAAUCAGAAAGCCACGGCUAACUACGUG
rnacentral:rRNA from 1 species